UUGAGUUCUGCUCAGUUCCUGCUUGGACGCCAGAUUAUCCGCCAAACUGGUAGACAGCAGCAGGUUGGCAUUUUGGUGAUUCCAAGCAACGCUUAUCUCGGUGUGGAACAAGUUGUGCUGCGUGAGCCACGAAAAUUUCCUACUGAAAGUGGCCUGCAGCCCCACGAAACGAUUUGAGAAGGCGAGUUCCCAAGUCUUAACCAGCCAUAGUUCAACAGACGCGCAAAAAGGAUGGGAACAGUUUCAUAAUUUGGUCUCGUCGCGCGAUUUAUUGGAGCUUGGAGGUCUUCACGACGACUAUAGUUCCGAGUUCCUAAUUGGACGCCAGAUUAUCCGUCAAACAUGUAGACAGCAGCAGGUGCAAAAACUUGCUUGGAAGUCAAAGAGUGUACAUCAUAUUGAGAAUCCUGGACAAAGAGACUACUUGCAGUCAUAUAUGUCAAGCAUAUUUCAGAUCUGAAAUGUAGUAAGUAGCAAUAGCUAACUUAAUAUUCUAGGAAGAAGAGUAAAAUUGUUGCGUUCUGAAAUUAUGUCAGAGAGUAGAGACAUUUCUUGAGUACUUGAUAGGAACUCAAGCAGACUUGAAUAAAUGGCGUUCAGAUAACUUUGUAUACAACAGAACAGGCCAUUGCUAAAUUAUCAAAACUCAAAGCAUGGAGGGUCGGCA